GUGAUUAUGAAGCUUCUUACUUCAUUUUCUAUUUGUUGGCAUAUUGAAAUACCAAAGUUCAACGACCAUAAUGAAAUAUCACUCUACCUCUCUCAACUUCGUAAAAACGAAGUAACCUCGGUAAGGACAACGGACCAGAUAAAUCUAAUUUGCGAUUCUAAUUUUCAUGUUCCUCAAAAAAAGAUAAGCCAUUAACCGAUACCCGAAGACCAUAGCUAUCAAGGCCCCUGCUUCUAUUCCUCCAUUAUCCAGUCGAAGUCCCUCAACAAAAGUAGAAAGGCAAGGAGUAAAUCCAUUAUGUCCUGCAUUUGAGCAAUUAUAAUGAACCUUGACGAGUAGCCGAU
rnacentral:misc_RNA from 1 species